GAUCGUACAUUUUUAGGGAAGAGAGCUUUUUUUAAAAAAAAAAAGUUGCUCUUUGCAAUGAGAGAAAAUAGCUCCGGACAGUUCUGGACGUUUUAUUUCUUUUUGGCUGGUUUCCGACACCGGGAUAAGAAAAGAAGCGAAGUGGGCAGGAGCGAGCCGAGCGAUGCGGAGGAGUUUCCAACAAGUUACUCUAUAAACAGCCCGACUGAAGGGGCCCGAAUCCCUGAGUUUUCCAGUUAUUUAAAUCAAAUAAUAAAAAUAAAUACCGUGAAGAAGAAGAAGAAGGGCGAAGGCAUAUUUUUUCAAGCAUAUUUUAUUCUUCUUUUCCGCUUCUCCCCCACCCAUUAUAAAUGAUUUCUGAUUUCUCUGCCCCUUUCACACAGAGCGCAUCCUAUAAACUUUACUUACUUCACGGCCUGCCUAGUUAGUAGAGCAAAGGCGCGAUUUGAAAGCCGAUUUAAACUCGGUAACCGACGGGAUGUCCUUAGGUGAGCGACCUUGGGUGAGCACAAUCGUUUUUAUCCUGCCACGGGAUAAUUUUCCGUCCGGAAUUCCACUCGGGACUCAAUCACAGUUCGGUGUAGCUUUUAAGCCUCCGUUUAACAAUCCCAUUUAAAAGGUAAUUUCUUAAUCUGCGUUAAAUCGAUUGCUCGCAGGAAUUAACCGCUACGCGCGCUCCCACGCUUGGUUGUAACGAUUCUUUAAAAAAGAAAGAAAAAAGAAAGAAAGAAAGAAGAAAGAAAGAAAGAGAGAGAGAGAGAGAGAAAGAAAGAAAGAAAAAGAAAGAAAGAAAGAAAGAAGAAAGAAAGAAAGAAAGAAAGAAAGAAAGAAAGAAAGAAAGAAAGAAAGAAAGAAAGAAAGAAAGAAAAGACGUUCGGUUCCCUGGGGCGCGAACUUUCCCCAAGAUCUGACCUACCUUAGAAAGUCCCGUUUUGGGAAUGAAAGAAAGGAAAUUUUACUUUGGUUUGGUUUCUGUCCUAUUUUCCCAGCGCGCUAGGAUGGAGGACGCCCCAAAACUUUCGAGGAGUCCCCGAAAAAAACCAGCAAUUUUGCAGCGCUCGGAAAGUACCGCCGGCGGAUUUUCCGAUCAGAAAAUGGUUGAGAAUAUUCAUAGCUCGGGGUUGUGGGUUGUAGGAUUUUCUGAUCUUCCCUUCCAGAUCCUCAAGGAAUCCCAGACAAUUGGGAUCCACCCAGACAAGCGGGAUCCCGGAAGGGCAGCGAAUCGCAGAAAGGGGAAGCGAUUCCAAACAAACCGCGGGCUUGUGAAACCCGAGGUGUGGCCCUGACACUCUGCACAUGGUCAGAAGACAAGCGCGUUCUAGACUUAUUCCCGGCGGGAAGGAGAAGAGAUUUUGGCCAGUUAAGCAAUAAAAAUAAGAAGAAAAA